AACGAACGCUGGCGGCAUGCCUAACACAUGCAAGUCGAACGAGACCUUCGGGUCUAGUGGCGCACGGGUUCGUAACGCGUGGGAACCUGCCCUUAGGUUCGGAAUAACUCCCCGAAAGGGGUGCUAAUACCGGAUAAUGUCUUCGGACCAAAGAUUUAUCGCCUUUGGAUGGUCCCGCGUUGGAUUAGCUAGUUGUUAGGGUAAUAGCCUACCAAGGCGCCGAUCCAUAGCUGGUCUGAGAGGAUGAUCAGCCACACUGGGACUGAGACACGGCCCAGACUCCUACGGGAGGCAGCAGUGGGGAAUAUUGGACAAUGGGCGAAAGCAUGAUCCAGCAAUGCCGCGUGAGUGAUGAAGGCCUUAGGGUUGUAAAGCUCUUUUAACCGGGAUGAUAAUGACAGUACCGGGAGAAUAAGCUCCGGCUAACUCCGUG
rnacentral:rRNA from 1 species